rnacentral:rRNA from 1 species
CACGUAGGGUGCGAGCGUUGUCCGGAAUUAUUGGGCGUAAAGAGCUCGUAGGCGGUGUGUCGCGUCGGCCGUGAAAACCUGCAGCUUAACUGUGGGCUUGCGGUCGAUACGGGCAUCACUGGAGUUCGGCAGGGGAGACUGGAAUUCCUGGUGUAGCGGUGAAAUGCGCAGAUAUCAGGAGGAACACCGGUGGCGGAAGGCGGGUCUCUGGGCCGAUACUGA